rnacentral:lncRNA from 1 species
GAUACUCGUUGGGCAAACGAUCUGUCCAUUCUCUCUUUCCUCUGUUAGCUCCCAUAGGAAAGCCAGGGAAGAAAGUGGGUGGCGCCUCACCCCUAUGGAGAAGUCCAGCUGCAUCAAACCCUUGGAACCCCAAAGGGCUCAUUACCCACGCGCCUUGGAUAGGAAAAUUGCACCAAAUAUGAUCGAAUGGGAAGAAGUGAAAAGAAAGGAAGGAAGAUGCUAGAUAAAAUUAGGGGUUCCUUGUGCUUAUAAAAGGGAGCUUCCACUACCCAGAAAAACAAUGAUCUAGAGCCUGACCAAGCUUUGUCAAGCAACUGGGAAC